CCUACGGGUGGCAGCAGUCGAGAAUCAUUCACAAUGGGGGAAACCCUGAUGGUGCGACGCCGCGUGGGGGAAUGAAGGUCUUCGGAUUGUAAACCCCUGUCAUGUGGGAGCAAAUUAAAAAGAUAGUACCACAAGAGGAAGAGACGGCUAACUCUGUGCCAGCAGCCGCGGUAAUACAGAGGUCUCAAGCGUUGUUCGGCAUCACUGGGCGUAAGGCGUGCGUAGGCUGUUUCGUAAGUCGUGUGUGAAAGGCGCGGGCUCAACCCGCGGACGGCACAUGAUACUGGGAGACUAGAGUAAUGGAGGGGGAACCGGAAUUCGCGGUGUAGCAGUGAAAUGCGUAGAUAUCGAGAGGAACACUCGUGGCGAAGGCGGGUUCCUGGACAUUAACUGACGCUGAGGCACGAAGGCCAGGGGAGCGAAAGGGAUUAGAUACCCGGGUAGUC
rnacentral:rRNA from 1 species